GUGCACGCAUUUCCCUCCGCCCUUGGACGCCGCAGCGCGUGGGUCGGAUUGGCCCUGAUCAUCCUAAUCGUAGGCUCCUGGCGCGCCAGAGGGGACGCGGCGAGUAGGUCGGUCACCCACCCGUCCCGUCUUGAAACACGGACCAAGGAGUGCGACGCUUGCGCGAGUCGUUGGGUCUUGAACAGGCCCGCAGGCGCAGAUAACACGUGGUUGGGAUUCCCGGGACGCACCAGCGGCCCGGUCGGCGUCUGAGCGCACGCGUUGCGACCCGAAAGGUGGUGAGCUAUGCUUGGGCAGGUCGAAGCCAGAGGAAACUCUGGUGGAGGACCGUAGCGGUUCUGACGUGCAAAUCGAUCGUCGGACUCGAGUAUAGGGGCGAAAGACCAAUCGAACCACCUAGUAGCUGGUUCCCUCCGAAGUUUCCCUCAGGAUAGCUGGCGUCGGAGCAUUCAUUUCUGGUAAAGCGAA
rnacentral:rRNA from 1 species